CUGCCCACACAGGCCAAGGAUGAUGUUUGAAAGUUGCUUUUACAGCUGCUGAGACGAUGACAGACUGCUGUCCCAGGUGUACAGAUUUACAGAGAAAAACUGGGUGGCUCCUUGUCCUCUACAAUCCACAUACCCACAGAUCAGGUUACAACCCAACGUGUGUGAAGGUGGACACCUGUGCCUGUCAGGAUCUGUAUGGAGGGAUGGCAUGGCCUGGAGCCAAGGACUGUAAACUGUGGAUUUUUAUU